rnacentral:rRNA from 1 species
UGGGGAAUAUUGCACAAUGGGCGAAAGCCUGAUGCAGCAACGCCGCGUGAGCGAUGAAGGCCUUUGGGUCGUAAAGCUCUGUCCUGGGGGAAGAAUAAAUGACGGUACCCUUGGAGGAAGCCCCGGCUAACUACGUGCCAGCAGCCGCGGUAAUACGUAGGGGGCAAGCGUUAUCCGGAUUUAUUGGGUUUAAAGGGUGCGCAGGCGGGAUGUUAAGUCGGCGGUGAAAUUUUGCAGCUCAACUGUAAAAGUGCCUUCGAUACUGGCUUCCUUGAGUGUGGAUGAAGUAGGCGGAAUCUGUGGUGUAGCGGUGAAAUGCUUAGAUAUCACGAGGAACUCCGAUUGCGCAGGCAGCUUACUAAGCCACAACUGACGCUCAUGCACGAAGGCGUGGGGAUCAAACA